rnacentral:tRNA from 1 species
GCGGAUAUAGAUUAAUGGUAAAUUCCCUGCCUUCCAAGCAGGAUAUACGGGUUCGAUUCCCGUUGUCCGCU